UACGAAGGGUGCAAGCGUUACUCGGAAUUACUGGGCGUAAAGCGUGCGUAGGUGGUUUGUUAAGCCUGAUGUGAAAGCCCUGGGCUCAACCUGGGAAUGGCAUUGGAUACUGGCAGUCUAGAGUGCGGUAGAGGGUAGCGGAAUUCCCGGUGUAGCAGUGAAAUGCGUAGAUAUCGGGAGGAACAUCCGUGGCGAAGGCGGCUACCUGGACCAGCACUGACACUGAGGCACGAAAGCGUGGGGAGCAAACAGG
rnacentral:rRNA from 1 species